GACGAACGCUGGCGGCGUGCUUAACACAUGCAAGUCGAACGGAAAGGCCCUGCUUUUGUGGGGUGCUCGUGUGGCGAACGGGUGUGUAUCACGUGUGUAACCUUCCCUUGUCUUUGGGAUAACUUCUGGUAACUGGGGCUAUUACCGGAUAGGAUCUCCUGCUGCAUGGUGGGUGUUGGAAAGUUUCGGCGGUUGGGGAUGGACUCGCGGCUUAUCAGCUUGUUGGUGGGGUAGUGGCUUACCAAGGCUUUGACGGGUAGCCGGCCUGAGAGGGUGAACGGCGACAAGGGGACUGAGAUAGGGCACAGAGGGAAACGGGAGGCAGCAGUGGGGAAUAGAGCAAAAUGGGCGGAAGGAUGAGGCAGAAAGGGAGGGUGCGGGAAGACGGGCUGCGGGGUGGAAAAAGAUUUAGAAUGAGAAGAAGAGAGAGUGACGGUAAUGGGUAAAGAAGCAACGGCUAACUACGUG
rnacentral:rRNA from 1 species